CAUAUCACUUGAUAAAUGUGGACCUGAAGUAAGAAUCUAAGUAUUCACUUGUGCUGUUACUGAACUGUCUAUAUAUAGAGGUCAUGCCUGAUACUCUGACUGUACUGCUGAUCACAGACGUUAGGGCAGAGAGUCCUGUGGAAGUGAAAUAUAAUAUAUCUGAGAAAUCAAGCCCUGGUUGUAAAGUUUGAGACACAGCUCCAAGCAACUGACAAAUUUUACAGUGGCUUUGGGAAUAUUGCUCUUCAAAAGGCACAUCACAGAGAAUCUGCUGAUCAUCAUAGAAAAUUUCUGUUUAUUACUAUCAUUAUUACCACCACAGAUACAACUUUGGGUUAUCAUCUAGG